ensembl:snoRNA small nucleolar RNA SNORA12
UAUUGUGGUAGUUUCUGUAUUUGGCAGUUCUGUAACUGUAUCAGAGCAGCCUUUAAACUACCACAGAGAUCAGAAGGGAGAAGGCUGUGCUGAGAACUUUUUCAAGCUUUUAGUUUUCAGCUUUUUGUUCCUCUCCUACAGAA